AUUGAACGCUGGCGGCAGGCCUAACACAUGCAAGUCGAGCGGCAGCGGGAAAGUAGCUUGCUACUUUUGCCGGCGAGCGGCGGACGGGUGAGUAAUGCCUGGGAAAUUGCCCAGUCGAGGGGGAUAACAGUUGGAAACGACUGCUAAUACCGCAUACGCCCCACGGGGGAAAGCAGGGGACCUUCGGGCCUUGCGCGAUUGGAUAUGCCCAGGUGGGAUUAGCUAGUUGGUGAGGUAAUGGCUCACCAAGGCGACGAUCCCUAGCUGGUCUGAGAGGAUGAUCAGCCACACUGGAACUGAGACACGGUCCAGACUCCUACGGGAGGCAGCAGAGGGGAAUAUUGCACAAUGGGGGAAACCCUGAUGCAGCCAUGCCGCGUGUGUGAAGAAGGCCUUCGGGUUGUAAAGCACUUUCAGCGAGGAGGAAAGGUUGAUGCCUAAUACGUAUCAACUGUGACGUUACUCGCAGAAGAAGCACCGGCUAACUCCGUGCCAGCAGCCGCCGUAAAAC
rnacentral:rRNA from 1 species